GACGAACGCUGGCGGCGUGCUUAACACAUGCAAGUCGAACGGAAAGGCUCCAGCUUGCUGGCGUACUCGAGUGGCGAACGGGUGAGUAACACGUGGGUAACCUGCCCUGCACUCUGGGAUAAGCCUGGGAAACUGGGUCUAAUACUGGAUAUGACCUUUCUCCUCAUGGGGUUUGGUGGAAAGUUUUGCGGUGUAGGAUGAGCCCGCGGCCUAUCAGCUUGUUGGUGGGGUGAUGGCCUACCAAGGCGACGACGGGUAGCCGGCCUGAGAGGGUGACCGGCCACAUUGGGACUGAGAUACGGCCCAGACUCCUACGGGAGGCAGCAGUGGGGAAUAUUGCACAAUGGGCGGAAGCCUGAUGCAGCGACGCCGCGUGAGGGAUGACGGCCUUCGGGUUGUAAACCUCUUUCAGCAGUGACGAAGCGUAAGUGACGGUACCUGCAGAAGAAGCACCGGCUAACUAUGUG
rnacentral:rRNA from 1 species